rnacentral:rRNA from 1 species
UACGUAGGUGGCAAGCGUUACUCGGAAUCACUAGGCGUAAAGCGCAGGUAGGAGGUUUAGUAAGUCUGUUGUGAAAGCUCCCGGCUUAACUGGGAGAGGUCAACGGAAACUGCUAGGCUAGAGUGCGGUAGAGGAAGGUGGAAUUCCUGGUGGAGCGGUGAAAUGCGCAGAGAUCAGGAGGAACACCCGUAGCGAAGGCGGCACUCUGGGCCGAUACUGACGCUGAGGAGCGAAAGCGUGGGGAGCGAACAGG